GUUUGUGUGUCUCAAGGAUAAUGAACUUCAUUUUUAUCAGGAUGGGAAUGAGUCGGUCGGCUUCGGUUUAUGAACGGAUUCAUUUUGGAUAUCCGUGUUCGUCCAUAUUUACUCACACAAAUCCGAAAUGGGUCACCCGAUUACCCGACGGGUUGUUUAGACCCAUCCGUUUCUCUGUUUUUUAGUCACGGUUUUCUCGGUUUGGGUCGGACUCCGGGUUAUUGUCC
rnacentral:lncRNA from 1 species